AAAGUUUAGUGAGAAAAAGGAUGAAAUAAAAAGAAAGAAAGAAAGAUAGAAAGUGAGAGAGAAAGAAUGAGAGAGAGAGAGAGAAAGAGAAGAGAAGUUGUCCCACGGGCGGGGCUCGUAGUGCGAGCGAGAUAGAAGCAAAAAGAGAGGAAGGAGUAUCGGCUGGCGGGGAAGGGGGAGCUUGAAUCCCGCAGCGUAAAACUAAGCAUGCCACUCGUGGCGUCUCAGUCGCAGGAUCGCACGCGCACCGUCAACGCAGUGGCGUCUGAUUCUCCUUCCUAUUUUACCGGUCAUCACACGUAACUAACACACGUCAAGAUUUACACGCAUCAUUCUAUGUAUAUAUAGUACCUUUCUUCUCGGGUGUGUAAGAGAGAAAGAGAGAGAGAGAGAGAGAGAGAGAGAAAAGUAUUGGAAAAGGAAAGAAAAGGAUUGUAUAUACAUACAUGCACACAAACGUAUAUAUGUACAUACGUGUAUGUAUAUAUGUGCAUGGCUUUACUACGCGCGUGUUACUUCUGGACAGACUACGAGGUGUUUGAGGUUAGGAACAGUCGUAUUCGUCAUUUGCUCUCCGUCUACUAGUAUUAUCAGUCGAUUUAAUCUGUGUGCAGCGGCAAUAACAACAGUAACAGCAGCAAGGUGGUGUUCUUUCAGACUGGUUGAGAACUAUAUAUAUAUAUAUAUAUGUAUAUAUAUUUGUAGGCUCCUGUGCAUAUACAAACACGCACACAGCACAUACGUAUAUAUAUAUAUAUGACGAAGAAAAAAGGAAGAGAGAGAAAAAAGAGGGUAGAUAGUAGACGUCGCUUGAAUCACCGAAGCACUGCCUGGUGAGAUGAAGACGAGCGAAAAGAGCUGAACGUCGAAGAGUAAAGAGUAAGAAGGAUAGAGGAAAGCGAGAGGGGUACACGACCGUCGGUUAUGUUCAACUGUAAAGAAGAAGAGAAGAGGCAAGGCUAAUGGCUCUUAGGAUAGAAGGAAAAGAACACUGAACGGGUCAUACCAAUGACG